rnacentral:lncRNA from 1 species
AAGGGGUAAGGAUUUAUGGUGGCUAAGGAUUUAUGAUGCAUAGCGCUGAAAAUGUGAAUCGACUAGGAUUCGAACUUAGCUCUCGGGUAACAACCACCAAGCCCUCUUCCACUUACUCUAGGGACGGUCGGUUUUGUUGGUUUCAUGUUUUAUUUGGCUUUGUUUACUACGUGAACAGCCGGUGCACAAUUCGAGAGGUCCGGGAUUGUAUCUUUAUAAUAUUUUUAGCUAUAUAUAUAUAUAUAUAUAUAUAUAAUUAGACUACUAUGCUAUUAAUAGUGUCAAACGCUCGAUGCUACUAGAUUUUUGGCUCUUGGAUGAAGGGAUGUGCAGUUAGGAUGAGAGUAGUUUUCAGUUAGAAUGAUAGUGGUCCCCUAUAGUUGAGUGGGUGCAUGGUUGGUUAAAUAGUAUAAUAUGAAUCAUAUGAUGAAUGAGAAUAAUUAAAUGAGUAGAUCUGACGGAAGAAAACUUGAUAGCACCAAGCACUUUGUACUAUCGAUAGGGUAUAAAUGAGAACUGUUUAUUUCUAAGUGAGAACUACUUAUUUCAUAGAUAAGUAUAAGUUCAGGUAUAUGCAGGAAUUAGAAUAAAUUUUUAUUUGGAUGAAAAUUGGAUUGUUCGUAGGAAUAAAGUAAAUAAUGUUUGGUUGGUUAGAUUGGAAUAAUAAAAAUAAAAGUAAUUAUAACUUUAAAUUAAUAAUAUUUUAUCUAAUUAAUUAAUAUCAAAAUAUUAAUUAAAAAAUUUAAUAAAUUAAAAAAAAUUUAGAUAUGAAUAUUUAUAAGAUAGUGAAAAAAAUAUUAACAAACUAAUUAUAUUAAUUAAUUAUAAAAUAUAACUUAAUUUUAUAAUUAAUUAGUAAAUCAUUUAAUUAGUUAGGCUUAGUUUAAUAUUGAGGUCUAUCUAACGCUAUUAGAUAAAAUGGAGUCAGCAAAAAAAGCAAAUAGAGAUAUGUUUCUGCGUUCUCCGGUGGGACCGCAAAAAAUAUAUCAUAACUGAUUCAUCACAAUAUGCGGAACGCAAUAUUAUGUAUCGAAACAAAUAUGGUUUUUCCAUCAUGCUUCUCACGCACGUAACGCAAUCUCCCCACAAUCCCAAACGAAGUCUUAGAUGAUUUGUUAAGAAAUUACUUUAAUCAAUAUAAAUAUUAGUUAUUAGAUAAACACAUCUAUACUAAUCUAUGAAUCCCCAAUAUCUUGCUAACGUGGCGUGACCUCCUUCUCCCAAAACCGCUCCCUCAUCAUCUCCCAAAACCGCUCCCUCAUCAUCUCCCAAAACUGCUCCCCUUUCAUCUCCCAACCCCCGAGACCCCUCAUCUUUCUCAUCUCCCAACCCCCAGACCCCUCAUUUUCCAAAACCGCUUUCUCUUCAUCUCCCAACCCCCGAGACCUCUCAUCUUCCAAAACCGCUCCCUUCUCAUCUCACAACCCCCGAGACCCCUCAUCUCCCAAAACCGCAGCAGAAGAUUAAGCGAUUACAGUGCAUAUGUAGAGUGGUGGAGUUGGCUUUUGAUGUUUUGGUGUUGUAUUUGAGGGGGUUAUUUUUUUCCCUUUGAUUUGCUCGCAAUCUGUUUGUGAUCUGGUUGUUGAACUUUCAAUGCUGCAGGUAUGCAAUGGAUGUGAAUGUGUCACGCCCCGGGGCCGAUUUUAAAAGCCUUUUGAAAACAGAGUUGCGGAAAGCGUGCCAUUUUUUUUUUUUCAACCUGGCCCACGUGACGUACAGACCCGCCACAAAUACAAAGUUCCUCUGUCCACUCGGGCAGAGUCUCCUUUGUAUUUGCAUGGCGUACCAACGGAUACAACAGGAUCUCAACCACAACCUACAUUUACCAAUCAACAACCAAAGCAUGAUAUGCAUUUCCACACAGCUAACAAUCCUUAGAAUGAUGCAUGCCUCUAAGCACUCCUUAGGCGCUGGAUGAUGCAAUGCACAAUACAACAAACAUCCUAUUUAAAAGUGCUCCCCACACGGAAGCUUUUGUUUUUGAACUCUAAUUCAUUCAUCAUGAAAAACCAUUGAAAACCUUUUUAAAACUGUUUCCCACACGGAAACUCUAUUUUGAAAACCAGCUACCUCGAGGGGUAGAAAUCCACAAAGCGUAUAAAUCCAAUCUGAAACCAAGGAUCCAAAACCACAUAUCUGAAAACUCCAAUCUCAUGUAUAAUAAAACAUCCAUAAUCUCAUGCAUACGAGGAAAACCAACUCAUUCAAACAAUCAUAAGAUCAUCUAAUCAUGCAUAACGGAAAUCACAACAUUCAAACAUCUAACUGAACCAUUUAUUUAAAUGACUACUAAAGGCGGGAAAGAAAUACAACCAGGGUGGCGAUCGC